rnacentral:lncRNA from 1 species
UUGCACGUGUUAAUAGUGCUAGGUGAAAAACGAAGAUUUUUCUAUGCUUAUUUUAAAUAUUUUCAGAUGCAUUGUGCUUCAUACAUAGGACUAUUUCAAUAUGCCCUUUUAGUGUAUGAGCUUCAAGAGUAACUGUAUUUACCAAUUCCGCUAAUAAAUUACUUUGAGGAGGUGUUAGUUAUGAGAUUUUUCUUCCGAAUCAGCAGUGGAGUAUUCGUUGCAAGAUGGAUAACGUCAGUUACGACUGUUUUUUACGUCAUUUGAUCCACAUUUUAUAUUAAUGAUAAACAUUUUUCUAAAGCUGAAUAAUCGAUAGACAAUUUAAGAAAUUAAAAUUCCAUGAGGUACAUUUGUAAUUUAAACUCUUUAACUCUAUUAAUCGGUGUUUAUUGUCAUGUUGGUCUGCAGGUGUGUAUUUUCAAUGGAUCUUGCUUGAACUGUUGGUACCAUUAUCUGGGCUUGUUUUUUCUUCUUCGUGCUAAGAACGAUAUUGCAAGGUCUGGCUUCGAUUUUUACUUCCCCAAAACUAUUGAUAUCAGACAUGAUAUUCUGAAUAGUACCGUUUAUUUCAUAUACAAUGAAAUGCUUCUUCAACUCUCCAUCUUGGCAUAAUGAGUGCAGAAAUUUAUCUUUUACUGAGACGUCCUCUUCUAUUUGCUUCAUCGAAAGGAAGAGCUGCAGGUCCGUUGCGUGUUGUUUGAUAUUUAUAAUAUUUCUCUGACAAUCGGCUACCUCUUUUUCCUCCCUUUCCAACUGAUAGUACUUCGAGUUUUCUUUGUCUUCGACCGCAUACACUUGUUUCAUAAAAUCUUCUUGUAGUUUGUCAAGAUGAUUGUUGAUAUUUAUUCUGGUAAUCUUUAUUACGUUUUCAAUUUCCUUUCUUUUUUCUUUUAAAAUGGCCAGAUUGUCCUGAUGAUGCUGUCGAAUUUUCUGUAGAUUUUCUGCUACUUCAAGUAAUGCUUCUUCUAUCUCACUGAGUGAAUUGGAUGAUUUCGCAUUUUGAAUCACGUCAUCUAAAUCGACUAUAUCCCGGCAUUCUUUGUGAUUUUCUACUAUACACUUGCUGCAGCAAGGUCGUUCGUGCUUCUGGCAGUACAUUUCAAAUUUUUUAUUGUGUUUACUACAGUGUUGAUUAAUCUUUAGUACAUCUGUCGGUAAUUUUUGGUAAUCGGUGAUAGCAAUCACACUAUGGUUCGUCGACGCCUUGGACAAACUAUGGUGUUCUUGACAUUCAUUGCAUAGUCCUUCGUCGCAUUCUGUACACCAGACACUACAUGGUUUUGUAAUGUGUCGAAGGUCACAAACACCACAACUCUGGGAGGAUGUUACCUC